rnacentral:tRNA from 1 species
UUAGUUGAAGCCAAAUAGAGGCUAAUCAUUGUUAAUGAUUUAAUUGAGUUAUUUCCGACUGUC